UACGGAGGGGGCGAGCGUUAUUCGGAAUUAUUGGGCGUAAAGGGCGCGUAGGCGGCUUGACAAGUCAAAGGUGAAAUCCCUCGGCUCAACUGAGGAACUGCCUUUGAAACUGUCUGGCUUGAGGCCGGGAGGGGGUAGCGGAAUUCCCAGUGUAGCGGUGAAAUGCGUAGAUACUGGGAGGAACACCAGUGGCGAAGGCGGCAUCCUGGACCGACAUUGACGCUGAGGAGCGAAAGCUAGGGGAGCAAACGGG
rnacentral:rRNA from 1 species